UCUCCGUAGGUGAACCUGCGGAGGGAUCAUUACCGCGUGAGGGUUCCGGCCCGACCUCCAACCCUUUGUGAAUUCGACCCAGUUGCCUCGGGGGCGACCCUGCCGUUCGCGGCGCGGCGCCCCCGGGGGAAAUCAAACACUGCGUCAAUUUGUGUCGGAGUACUUGUUAAUAAACAAAACUUUCAACAACGGAUCUCUUGGUUCUGGCAUCGAUGAAGAACGCAGC
rnacentral:misc_RNA from 1 species